rnacentral:rRNA from 1 species
UACGUAGGCAGCGAGCGUUGUUCGGAAUUACUGGGCGUAAAGAGUGUGUAGGCGGUGCUCUAAGUUUGGUGUGAAAUCUCCCGGCUCAACUGGGAGGGUGCAUCGAAAACUGGAAUGCUAGAGGGUGGGAGAGGUAAGCGGAAUUCCUGGUGUAGCGGUGAAAUGCGUAGAUAUCAGGAGGAACACCUGUGGUGUAGACAGCUUACUGGACCACUUCUGACGCUGAGACAUGAAAGCGUGGGUAGCAAACAGG